rnacentral:rRNA from 1 species
UAUCCCCCUGUGUGCCUUGCCCCCCACGACUACGCGAUCACUCCUACGGGAGGCAGCAGUGGGGAAUAUUGCACAAUGGGGGAAACCCUGAUGCAGCCAUGCCGCGUGUGUGAAGAAGGCCUUCGGGUUGUAAAGCACUUUCAGUAGGGAGGAAGGUAGUGUAGUUAACACCUGCAUUAUUUGACGUUACCUACAGAAGAAGCACCGGCUAACUCCGUGCCAGCAGCCGCGGUAAUACGGAGGGUGCGAGCGUUAAUCGGAAUUACUGGGCGUAAAGCGCAUGCAGGCGGCCUGUUAAGUCAGAUGUGAAAGCCCGGGGCUUAACCUCGGAAUUGCAUUUGAAACUGGCAGGCUAGAGUCUUGUAGAGGGGGUAGAAUUUCAGGUGUAGCGGUGAAAUGCGUAGAGAUCUGAAGGAAUACCAGUGGCGAAGGCGGCCCCCUGGACAAAGACUGACGCUCAGAUGCGAAAGCGUGGGGAGCAAACAGGAUUAGAUACCCUGGUAG